rnacentral:rRNA from 1 species
GACGAACGCUGGCGGCGUGCUUAACACAUGCAAGUCGAACGGAAAGGCCCUGCUUUUGUGGGGGGCGCGAGUGGCGAACGGGUGAGUAACACGUGAGUAACCUGCCCGUGACUUUGGGAUAACUUCAGGAAACUGGGGCUAAUACCGGAUAGGAGCUCCUGCUGCAUGGUGGGGGUUGGAAAGUUUCGGCGGUUGGGGAUGGACUCGCGGCUUAUCAGCUUGUUGGUGGGGUAGUGGCUUACCAAGGCUUUGACGGGUAGCCGGCCUGAGGAGGUGACCGGCGACAUUGGGACUGAGAUACGGCCCAGAAUCCUACGGGCGGCAGCGGUGGGGAAUAUUGCAGAAUGGGCGGAAGUCUGAUGCAGCAACGCCGCGUGCGGGAUGACGGCCUUCGGGUUGUAAACCGCUUUCGCCUGUGACGACGCGUGAGUGACGGUAAUGGGUAAAGAAGCACCGGCUAACUACGUG